rnacentral:lncRNA from 1 species
GAUACAGGUAGACUUGUUCGUACUCAGACUACCUGUGUGUGAGGCUCGAUCUUCGUAUGUAGGCACUGCCGCCUAAUACGUUUGCCUGCAAUAAUGAUGCUUUUCGCAUGUAGGUGCACAACCACACUCUACUAGAAAACGGGAGUAUUUUUAAUUUUCUGGUAUUUGCACUACUUUGUGGCAGAACGAAAAUAACUUAAUGCGUACAUAAGUAUAUGGAAGGUAUCAUAUUUAAGAAAAAUAAAUAAGUAAUAGUAUGCAUAUUACAUAUGUAUACAUAUUCAUAUGUUUAGCAAAACAGAGUUGAAAGAGGCAAGUAACUCGAGUUAUGAAAAAUUUUUAGCGUAAAAAUUCAGUAUUCCGAGGUAGAAUGUUAAUUACUUAAGAUAAUAAAAUUUUACACUAUAAUUUUAAAUACCUCAAGAUAUUUUUUUAAGGAUGCUAGUAUAGAAAACCCCUUUUAGAAUGGUUGUAUAAAUUCAUUAGGCGUGCGCGGUUGUAGUGAUCAUCGUAUCACCCAGUUCAUAAAGCAUGCUUCUUCGACACUGGGAGCACAUGGGACAGUCCCAAUGCAUCCCAAACCUAUCACGGUAUGUUCUAAACGAGUUAUCUGAUCUAUGGAAUAGUCUUCAUCUCAGCUUCGUAUAUCACUACCGGCUG